rnacentral:rRNA from 1 species
GAUGAACGCUAGCGGCAGGCCUAACACAUGCAAGUCGAGGGGUAACAGGUUUAGCAAUAAAUGCUGACGACCGGCGCACGGGUGAGUAUCGCGUUUGCAACCUACCUUUAACUGGGGGAUAGCCCGGAGAAAUUCGGAUUAAUACCCCAUAACACUAUUAGGAGGCAUCUCCUUUUAGUUAAAGCUCCGGCGGUUAAAGAUGGGCAUGCGUGACAUUAGCUUGUUGGUGAGGUAACGGCUCACCAAGGCUACGAUGUCUAGGGGGUCUGAGAGGAUGAUCCCCCACACUGGUACUGAGACACGGACCAGACUCCUACGGGAGGCAGCAGUGAGGAAUAUUGGGCAAUGGGCGCAAGCCUGACCCAGCCAUGCCGCGUGCAGGAUGAAGGCGCUAUGCGUUGUAAACUGCUUUUGUACAGGAAGAAACCCAUUUACGUGUAAGUGGUUGACGGUACUGUCAGAAUAAGCAUCGGCUAACUCCGUGCCAGCCGCCGCGGUAAUAC